rnacentral:rRNA from 1 species
GAUGAACGCUGGCGGCGUGCCUAAUACAUGCAAGUCGAGCGAACGGACGAGAAGCUUGCUCCUCUGAUGUUAGCGGCGGACGGGUGAGUAACACGUGGAUAACCUACCUAUAAGACUGGGAUAACUUCGGGAAACCGGAGCUAAUACCGGAUAAUAUUUUGAACCGCAUGGUUCAAAAGUGAAAGACGGUCUUGCUGUCACUUAUAGAUGGAUCCACGCUGCAUUAGCUAGUUGGUAAGGUAACGGCUUACCAAGGCAACGAUGCAUAGCCGACCUGAGAGGGUGAUCGGCCACACUGGAACUGAGACACGGUCCAGACUCCUACGGGAGGCAGCAGUAGGGAAUCUUCCGCAAUGGGCGAAAGCCUGACGGAGCAACGCCGCGUGAGUGAUGAAGGUCUUCGGAUCGUAAAACUCUGUUAUUAGGGAAGAACAUAUGUGUAAGUAACUAUGCACAUCUUGACGGUACCUAAUCAGAAAGCCACGGCUAACUACGUG